AGAGUUUGAUCCUGGCUCAGAACGAACGCUGGCGGCGUGCCUGAGACAUGCAAGUCGUGGGAGAAAGUCGGAGCAAUCCGGCUAGUAAACCGGCGCACGGGUGAGUAACACGUGGGUAACCUGCCUUGGAGACCGGGAUAACCCGUCGAAAGACGGACUAAUACCGGAUAAGACCCCGGAUAGUUAGCUAUCUGCGGUAAAAGGUGGCCUCUGCUCCUGCAAGCUAUUACUUCAAGAGGGGCCCGCGGCCUAUCAGCUAGUUGGUGAGGUAACGGCCCACCAAGGCUAAGACGGGUAGCUGGUCUGAGAGGAUGGUCAGCCACACUGGGACUGAGACACGGCCCAGAGUCCUACGGGAUGCAGCAGUCAGGAAUAUUGCGCAAUGGAGGAAACUCUGACGCAGCGACGCCGCGUGGGUGAUGAAGGCCUUCGGGUCGUAAAGCCCUGUCGGAGGGGAAGAAAAGCUCGCUGGCUAAUAUCCAGCGGGCCUUUGACGGUACCCUCAAAGGAAGCACCGGCUAACUCCGUGCCAGCAGCCGCGGUAAGACGGAGGGUGCAAGCGUUGUUCGGAUUGACUGGGCGUAAAGGGCGUGUAGGCGGUUGGUCAAGUCUGGUGUGAAAGCCCGGGGCUCAACUCCGGAAGUGCGCUGGAAACUAGCCAGCUAGAGCGCGAGAGAGGAGGGUGGAAUUCCUGGUGUAGCGGUGAAAUGCGUAGAUAUCAGGAGGAACACCGGCGGCGAAGGCGGCCCUCUGGCUCGUUGCUGACGCUGAAACGCGAAAGCGUGGGGAGCAAACAGGAUUAGAUACCCCCGUAGUCC
rnacentral:rRNA from 1 species